rnacentral:lncRNA from 1 species
UAAACCAUCCUUUCAAACUACUUUAAAUCACAAACAAAACUUGUGCCCUAUGGCACUACCGACGGGGCUCCGUUACCAGCCGCUCGGAUCCCAAUUCCGUCCUUACUCCACCUGUGAAUGAUGAGAAGUGAGUUCACAUAACUCAAUACGAUAAAAAUCAAGUUGUAAGUGUAAUAUGCAGUGACAAGAAUUUCCAGAAAUGUCUAUAUGCAUUUAUCCUACCCAACCCCAAACAACUCAUAACCCUCUCCCUACACUAAUUAUCAAGGUCCCAUUCCAAGGCAAUAGCACGGCCAAACAACCCCACCCACCCAACAAUCAUCCACUAACUCUCGUCACCAACAUCGGCGACUCAUACACUCUUCCCCCAUCUCCCGACCUCACGAGGCCACACACACACACACCCAACCACCUUCAUUCCACGUCACCAAUAUCGGCGACUCACACCUAUAUCUCCACCUCUCGACCUAAUAGGCCACGCACACACCCACACACCAUUAUUCCGCGUCACCAACAUCGGCGACUCACACUCACUCCUCCACCUCUCGACCUAAAGAGGCCACACACACACACAAAUACCAUCGUCUCGCGUCACCAACAUCGGCGACUCAUACUCACUCCACCUCUCGACCUAAAGAGGCCACACACACACACAAAUACCAUCCUCUCGCGUCACCAACAUCGGCGACUCAUACUCACUCCUCCAUCUCUCGACCUCGUUGGGCCACGCACACACACAAACAUUUCCACCUCCCGUCACCACCAUCCGUGACUCAUGCACCCUUCUACCCCUCUCGGCCUUGCUAGGCCACACUCACAUACAUAUCCCCUCCCUGCUCCACCAACAUCGGCAACUCAACCCGCCCCUACCAACGGCCUCCAAAUCUCCCCUCCCAAACCGCAUGCUCCCAUCUCCCCUUAUACCAUGCUAGUCCCAAACAUUCUAACUUGCUAACUCCUACUGACCACAUUACUCCUCUUCUCCCAUCCAAUCCCCCUCAAAUCCUGCUUCCUAGUCCCCUCUGCCGUACCUUCCAGCUCCCUUCCCUCUCCCACUGCCCCCUACCCGCUACCUCCCCCAUCCUCCUGCCUCCUCCCGGUUCCUAUACACUUUUGCCUACCUAGGGCGAUUAACCUCUCAGCUUGCACCGUUUCACGCCACAUACACGCCCUCACCACCGUGCAUUUCGGGGAAACACAUCACCGCCUAUUAGCGGCUCCCUCCACAUCCCCACCCACGCACACACCACACACACACCUCUUCUGUCCUCUUCGAGUUUUUAUCCCACCCGCGCCCCCUAGAUUGUUCUCUCACAUCCUCCUCACUCUGUUCUACCCGUACCACCCCCAUCCUUCCCCACGGCUCCCCACACGCCUCCCACACCGCCAUACUUUCCCUUCCUUCCCCGAUCACCUCCGUGAGCGCACGGGACAACCCCACGCUUACGGCCUGCCUUCACUGCUCCACUCCGCCGCGCCAUUGCCGACGCCGCAACCUGCAACCAAAUUUCUCUACACACACACACCACACCAAACAACUCAAAUUUUCACCGUACCUCCCGUUUCCAUCUUCCUUCUUCCUGCCGGUCGCGUCGUCCGUCCACGGCCUCCUUCCCUCUCCCUUCUCGCUCCCCUCCGCCCCGACUCUCUCCUCUCUCCUUCUGGAACUUUCCUCUUCUUCUUCGUCUCCGCUGUCCUCCUUCCCUCCUUUUCUCUUUUUCUCUUUUUCCUUUUCUUUCUUUUUUUUUUUUUCUUUUCUCCUUUUUUCCUUCUCCCUUUCCCGACCUCCUUUUAUACUCUGCC